GGUGGCUCACGUCUGUAAUCCCAGCACUUUGGGAGGCCGAGGCGGGAGGCUCACUUGAGGCCAGGGGUUCGAGGCCAGCUUAGGCAGCAUAGUGAGCCCCCUCCAUCUCUUAAAAAA